rnacentral:rRNA from 1 species
CGGACGGGUGAGUAACACGUGGGUAACCUACCCAUCAGCGGGGGACAACACUUGGAAACAGGUGCUAAUACCGCAUAACUGCUUUUCUCGCAUGAGAGAAGGAUGAAAGACGCUUUCGGGUGUCACUGAUGGAUGGACCCGCGGUGCAUUAGCUAGUUGGUGAGGUAACGGCUCACCAAGGCGACGAUGCAUAGCCGACCUGAGAGGGUGAUCGGCCACACUGGGACUGAGACACGGCCCAG